rnacentral:snRNA from 1 species
GAAUGUGAGGUAGCUGUGACAUCUAUCACCCAUUGUUGAUCUCCAGGAUUAAUUUGGCUGAUUUGGUUGCCUAGCUUGGUGGUCCUUCCUUUAUCACCUCUCCCAGUGAUUCCCUCCCAAUGUUUCAGACUCAGUUAAAGAUAGUAGAGGAUUGUUCUUCACUUAGGAUUCAUGAGUAGCUAUGAUUUUUCUGCUGGAAUCCCCAGAAAAGCUCUCAGAAUUGGAGCAAGGUUUAGCAUGCCACAAGACAGGAUUAUGUGGUAAUUAUAUACUAUUUUAA